rnacentral:rRNA from 1 species
AGAGUUUGAUCCUGGCUCAGAACGAACGCUGGCGGCGUGGAUAAGACAUGCAAGUCGAACGGAUUUACCGGCGUAGCAAUACGUCGGUGAGUCAGUGGCGCAAGGGUGCGUAACACGUGGGCAACCUGCCCUGGGGUUCGGGAUAGCCCGCCGAAAGGCGGAUUAAUACCGGAUGUGGCUACCGAAGGAUUCUUCGGGACGCCAAAGGCGGCGCAAGCUGCCGCUCCUGGAUGGGCCCGCGGCCUAUCAGCUAGUUGGUGAGGUAACGGCUCACCAAGGCGAUGACGGGUAGCUGGUCUGAGAGGACGACCAGCCACACUGGAACUGAGACACGGUCCAGACACCUACGGGUGGCAGCAGUCGAGAAUUUUUCUCAAUGGGGGAAACCCUGAAGGAGCGAUGCCGCGUGGAGGAUGAAGGUCUUCGGAUUGUAAACUCCUGUCAUUGGUGAACAAGAUUUUCCCGUUAACUGCGGGGGGAUUUGAUAGUAGCCGAAGAGGAAGGGACGGCUAACUCUGUGCCAGCAGCCGCGGUAAUACAGAGGUCCCAAGCGUUGUUCGGAUUCAUUGGGCGUAAAGGGUGCGUAGGCGGCUUCCUAAGUCUGAUGUGAAAUCCUGGGGCUCAACCCUGGAACUGCAUUGGAUACUGGGAGGCUAGAGUACUGGAGAGGAAACUGGAAUUUACGGUGUAGCAGUGAAAUGCGUAGAUAUCGUAAGGAAGACCAGUGGCGAAGGCGAGUUUCUGGACAGUUACUGACGCUGAGGCACGAAGGCCAGGGGAGCAAACGGGAUUAGAUACCCCGGUAGUCC